AGGAUGAACGCUGGCGGCGUGCCUAACACAUGCAAGUCGAGCGAUCUUCUUCGGAAGAGAGCGGCGGACGGGUGAGUAACGCGUGGGUAACCUGCCCUGUACACACGGAUAACAUACCGAAAGGUAUGCUAAUACGAGAUAAUAUAUGAGAGUUGCAUGACUUUCAUAUCAAAGCUUUUGCGGUACAGGAUGGACCCGCGUCUGAUUAGCUAGUUGGUAAGGUAACGGCUUACCAAGGCGACGAUCAGUAGCCGACCUGAGAGGGUGAUCGGCCACACUGGAACUGAGACACGGUCCAGACUCCUACGGGAGGCAGCAGUGGGGAAUAUUGCACAAUGGGCGAAAGCCUGAUGCAGCAACGCCGCGUGAGCGAUGAAGGCCUUCGGGUCGUAAAGCUCUGUCCUCAAGGAAGAUAAUGACGGUACUUGAGGAGGAAGCCCCGGCUAACUACGUGCCAGCAGCCGCGGUAAUACGUAGGGGGCUAGCGUUAUCCGGAAUUACUGGGCGUAAAGGGUGCGUAGGUGGUUUUUUAAGUCAGAAGUGAAAGGCUACGGCUCAACCGUAGUAAGCUUUUGAAACUAAAGAACUUGAGUGCAGGAGAGGAGAGUAGAAUUCCUAGUGUAGCGGUGAAAUGCGUAGAUAUUAGGAGGAAUACCAGUAGCGAAGGCGGCUCUCUGGACUGUAACUGACACUGAGGCACGAAAGCGUGGGGAGCAAACAGGAUUAGAUACCCUGGUAGUCCACGCCGUAAACGAUGAGUACUAGGUGUCGGGGGUUACCCCCCUCGGUGCCGCAGCUAACGCAUUAAGUACUCCGCCUGGGAAGUACGCUCGCAAGAGUGAAA
rnacentral:rRNA from 1 species